GCCAGAGAUGUGGAUAGCUCAGUUGGGAGAGCACAAGUCUCUGAAUCUCAGGGUUGUGGGAUUGAGCCCUACGUUGGGCA